GUUACGUCAUCCAAGAGUCACUUGUUCUCAGCUACACCAAGAUUCUUUGCUGCUCCUAAAAGUUAGAAUACUUUGUUAUUUACUUUGAGCAUAGUGAAACAUAUCAAAAAAAGAUAAUCACAAGAUAAAAUUUAUACAACAAAAUUAUAGCCGAGAAAUAAUUAAUGAAACUCUUACUGUUACAUCCGUUGCUUCUCAUUCAUAC